rnacentral:rRNA from 1 species
GCCCCGGUAAACGGCGGCCGUAACUAUAACGGUCCUAAGGUAGCGAAAUUCCUUGUCGGGUAAGUUCCGACCUGCACGAAUGGCGUAAUGAUGGCCAGGCUGUCUCCACCCGAGACUCAGUGAAAUUGAACUCGCUGUGAAGAUGCAGUGUACCCGCGGCAAGACGGAAAGACCCCGUGAACCUUUACUAUAGCUUGACACUGAACAUUGAGCCUUGAUGUGUAGGAUAGGUGGGAGGCUUUGAAGUGUGGACGCCAGUCUGCAUGGAGCCGGCCUUGAAAUACCACCCUUUAAUGUUUGAUGUUCUAACGUGGACCCGUGAUCCGGGUUGCGGACAGUGUCUGGUGGGUAGUUUGACUGGGGCGGUCUCCUCCUAAAGAGUAACGGAGGAGCACGAAGGUUGGCUAAUCCUGGUCGGACAUCAGGAGGUUAGUGCAAUGGCAUAAGCCAGCUUGACUGCGAGCGUGACGGCGCGAGCAGGUGCGAAAGCAGGUCAUAGUGAUCCGGUGGUUCUGAAUGGAAGGGCCAUCGCUCAACGGAUAAAAGGUACUCCGGGGAUAACAGGCUGAUACCGCCCAAGAGUUCAUAUCGACGGCGGUGUUUGGCACCUCGAUGUCGGCUCAUCACAUCCUGGGGCUGAAGUAGGUCCCAAGGGUAUGGCUGUUCGCCAUUUAAAGUGGUACGCGAGCUGGGUUUAGAACGUCGUGAGACAGUUCGGUCCCUAUCUGCCGUGGGCGCUGGAGAACUGAGGGGGGCUGCUCCUAGUACGAGAGGACCGGAGUGGACGCAUCACUGGUGUUCGGGUUGUCAUGCCAAUGGCACUGCCCGGUAGCUAAAUGCGGAAGAGAUAAGUGCUGAAAGCAUCUAAGCACGAAACUUGCCCCGAGAUGAGUUCUCCCUGAGACUUAGAGUCUCCUGAAGGAACGUUGAAGACGACGACGUUGAUAGGCCGGGUGUGUAAGCGCAGCGAUG